rnacentral:rRNA from 1 species
UACGGGGGGGGUAAGCGUUGUUCGGAAUUACUGGGCGUAAAGGGCUCGUAGGCGGCCAACUAAGUCGGACGUGAAAUCCCUCAGCUUAACUGGGGAACUGCGUCCGAUACUGGAUGGCUUGGAUUUGGGAGAGGGAUGCGGAAUUCCAGGUGUAGCGGUGAAAUGCGUAGAUAUCUGGAAGAACACCGGUGGCGAAGGCGGCAUCCUGGACCAAUAUUGACGCUGAGGAGCGAAAGCCAGGGGAGCAAACGGG